ACAGAGGCAGGAAGAAGAGAAUCCAGAGGAGACGGACGGUCAGCUGAAGAUCAUGGACGUGUUUGAACCAAACCUCAUCCUCCGAGACUGAAACCUGCAGUUCCUCUAAUGUCCACUAGAGGCUGACUCCAACAACUGUAGACACUUCCUGUGGAUCCAUCACAGGUCUUCACCACGUGCUGCAGGACGCCGGCUGUGAUGUCAUGUCUUAUUGUGUGUGAUGGGCGGAGCCUCAAGCUCAUUUAAAUCUGAGCGCAGGGAGGUAAAGAGUGAUGGACAGCUGGUUGAAGAGGACGUGCAGUAACACAGCUGGGGUCUAAAGACAGGAACUGUGAAUACAAAGUGUCUUCAGCUCCUCCACAGCUCCACCCCUCUCAUCCAAAUAUGUGCACCUCUGGCUCCAAAAACAAGAUGGUGACGGCAGAAAUGCCGAAGUCGAGGCUUCAGAACACGAGUCAACAAACCAGUGGAUGAUGUCACAGUGGCUCUGUCUGUUAUUUAUACAGUUUCUGUACAACAUUAACAGUUAGAGCUGUGACUGUGAUGCAGAGACUCAAAGUGUUUCACACAAUGAAGAAUGAAUACAAGUCCACAGCUGAGAAUAGACACUUGAACACAGAGGUGGACUCAAUGAUGUAAUCAGACACAACCGACUGUAUUAAUGACGUAGUUUCAGUCAAAAUGCUGUUGUUGUGUUUCUCUGUCACUGAACCUGCUCUGCUGGAAAUAAAACUCCUGUGUAAAUCUCAGCAUCCUGUUUAUUUAAAUUAUUGUAUUAUAUGUAUACUGAUUACCUCACUGUCUUGUUUUGACUUUGUUUUGUUUUGUUUUUUAAUAUAUAAUAUUCAG